rnacentral:rRNA from 1 species
GACGGAGGGGGCUAGCGUUGUUCGGAAUUACUGGGCGUAAAGCGCACGUAGGCGGCCUUUCAAGUCAGAUGUGAAAGCCCCGGGCUUAACCCGGGAAUUGCAUUUGAUACUGUUAGGCUUGAGACCGGGAGAGGAUAGCGGAAUUCCCAGUGUAGAGGUGAAAUUCGUAGAUAUUGGGAAGAACACCAGCGGCGAAGGCGGCUAUCUGGACCGGUACUGACGCUGAGGUGCGAAAGCGUGGGGAGCAAACAGG